AAAAGUAAUUUUUAAAAAUUUUAAAAACAUACAAAUCAAUAAUUUUAUCAAAUAAAAUUAUCGAGCUGGAAUCCAAAUCCUAGAAUCACCUUGUCAAUAUCUAUCAAAGUAAAAUCAAGCAUGCAAAGAGAUAGAAUUUUAUACUUAGACCAAUAUGAAAAAGUGGCACGUUGGUGUUCUCUACGAGACUCUAAAGUAGAAGUCCUCCAGC
rnacentral:lncRNA from 1 species